GGCUCCCAGCUUGUGACAGUCCCGUUCCCCGCCGAUCCCUGGGCCUGAGGCAGCCGCAGCACCGGGCAGACCAUGGAGCCUGGGAUAGCGGGGGUGCAGCGCCGUGCCUGAGGGCGGGCUGGGGCGUACCGCUAUGGAUAACCGGUGCUAUGGAUGCGCGUCCAAGUUCUCUGUCUUCAAGAAAGAGUGUGGCUGCAAGAACUGCGGACGGUCCUUCUGCUCGGGCUGCCGGAGCUUCAGCGCUGUUGUUCCCCGCUGUGGAAACACCCAGCAGAAGGUGUGCAAGCAGUGCCAUGAAAAACUAACUGGAGAAGGAUCUCAAAGCAGUUCAGCAAAAUGGUCACCACCAGAAAACUACAAAAAGCGUGUAGCAGCUUUUGAGGCUAAACAAAACCAGCUGAAAGACCAACAGAAGGCAGCUGCAAAAUCCCCAGGUCGAGCAGGCUGCAGAUACCAGGGGCUCUCAAAAGAGGAUAGAGCUAUUGCAGAGAGACUGGAGAGGCUCAGGGAGGAAAGGAAACCAAAGUCCAUCCCUACUCAGGCUGAGAUUGAAGCUAGGCUGGCAGCCCUGAAGGAGGAUGGCCGAGGACCUGUUCCAUCCACACAGGAAAUGGAGGACCGGUUGGCUGUCCUGCAGGGUAGAGAUCCUCCUUCCCAAGCUCCCAGACCUGUGCACCAACCCCCGGAUACCCGAAGUCUGGUCCAGCAGACAGAUGACCUGUUAACUCAACUGUCUGAGGAGGUUGCCAUUGAUGAGCAUUACAGACCAAGAGUUCAGCCUCAAGCUGUUAGUAGCCAGAGUUUGAAUGAUCUCAAUCGGGGAAGUGAAGAUUGUGUUUGCCCUGCAAAUCUGGACCCAAAACAGCUAGAGGAAGAGAAGAACAAACUUCUGGCAGAAGCUGCUGCUGAGCUGCGGGAAGAGAACACUAGGCAGGAAAAGAUCCUACAGGUUGCCAAGAGACUGGCAGCACUCAAAGGCGAGGACCCAGAGAAAGUUACACUGGAAACCUAUAAGCUCCCUGACAGUGAUGAGGAAGUGGCUGAGGAGGAGGCCAUUCGCCAAGUGCUGAAACAGCUCACAGAGGAAGCAGCCCUGGAUGAAGCAAGUGGAUUCAACAUUCCCCCAGAUCAGACCACCCAACCAGGACCCUCACAACAGAACCUGUGUAAGCAAGCAAAGCAAAAGAGCCACACUCCAGCCACCACAGCUCUUGCAAGGGCAGAUGAUAGUGAUGAGGAUGAGUUACCCUGGUGCUGCAUCUGCAACGAAGAUGCCACUUUGCGCUGCCAUGGCUGUGACGGGGAUCUCUACUGUCAGCGCUGUUUUUGGGAAGGCCAUGAGGAGUUUGACCUGAAGGACCACCACACCUCCCGCUAUCAUCUUCCUUGCAAACAGAAGUGACCACGCUUAUGGGCAGAAGAGGAGCUGGAGAAUGGGAAAAUAGAGAACCCAGCCAGAUGGGAAGAAUCUAAGUGGAUUUGCAGCCAAAACGGGUCUGGAAAAGAUGCAGGGCGGUGUUGCUCACUGACAUGAAAGGAAGGAUCCUUUGAAAAGGUAAUCUGCUACUGAUACAGUGUUGUGGCCUGCAGUGGCUGUGCCAAGAUCAUGUCAUCUGUAAGAGCAACAUGUUAGUCUGAAAGAGCUGUGUAUAAGUCUGAAAGCAGAAUUUGACUUUGUUUAUUAUUUGGUCACCUGGUAGGAUAAAAAUGGUACCUGUGUGAUGCUCUUCAUCUGGUUAGGAGCAAAUCUCAGUUGCAUAUGUCCAUAUCCCUCCUGGGAGACAAUCCAGAUGCAAGUGGCACUUGCCAGUGCCCAGAACACCCAGAAUUGCUUCAAAUACCCAAGUAAAUUGGCUGUAAACAUGCUCUAUUAUUCCAUCAGGAUGAGCUCUUUCCAAAUAAUGUGCCUUCUGAGAGAGCUCUCUAAGGCUGACAAUUCCAAUUGCAACAAAAUAAAGGAUUUGCCCUUGACAGGGAAUUUCCAAUGAAUCUUGCCUGUCUGGUUUGACACUGCCACUCCCAGAUGUCUGCCUUGCCCCGGUGCUUAAGGUCAGUGCCUCCAAGUUGAAGUGAUGAAACAGCGUUUACCUGCACCUCUGGUCAGAGGACAGCAAAUGAAUGAAACCACUGUUGAAGUGAACUGAGAAAUCAUCUACCACUGGCCUCAUGUUGCCUUGCUCCCCUGAUCUCAGUGUGCUCAGUUGAAGUGCACUCAGUUCCCAGGGGAAAGAAGCUAUUUCUCUUGGGCCAGAGGAGAGGCAUGUCAUGUCUUUGUGCUGUUGCAGCUCAGCAGAAUAAAACAAAGUCUGUUCGUGGGGCAAAUAUUAGUUGUAGCCAGAAGAGUUUGUGCAGCAAGGUACUGUGUCCUACUUCCCUGCUCGUUUGUGAGACCUACCUGUCUGCAAAAGUCUCGCUCCGAGAUGCUCCCUGAAGGAAAGUUGGGAGCAGUGGAUGAAAAAAAGAAGUCUUGAUGGGCUCCUGAGAAUUGUAUUCAGUGCUCCUUGGCCAGCAUGGAGAUUCCUAGAAGAAUCUAAAGGAGAGAAAUCUUUUCCUCUUCCUCAGGUUAACAGACGCUUUAAGAAUCAGGAAAAUGUACAGUCUAGCUCCCUGCUGUGUGUGUAGAUCUGGAAGGAGUGGAGACUUCAAACCACUGGUACAGAGUUCACAAACU